rnacentral:misc_RNA from 1 species
UCCGGUUUGUCACCGGCAGUCUCAUUAGAGUGCCCAACUGAAUGUAGCAACUAAUGACAAGGGUUGCGCUCGUUGCGGGACUUAACCCAACAUCUCACGACACGAGCUGACGACAGCCAUGCAGCACCUGUGUUCCCGUUCCCUUUCGGGCACAGCCCCGUUUCCGGGGCCUCCAGGACAUGUCAAGGGUAGGUAAGGUGGGGAUGACGUGUAACCGAAUCU